rnacentral:rRNA from 1 species
GACGAACGCUGGCGGCGUGCUUAACACAUGCAAGUCGAACGGAAAGGCCCUGCUUUUGUGGGGUGCUCGAGUGGCGAACGGGUGAGUAACACGUGAGUAACCUGCACUUGAAUUUGGGAUAACUUCAGGAAACUGGGGCUAAUACCGGAUAGGAGCUCCUGCUGCAUGGUGGGGGUUGGAAAGUUUCGGCGGUUGGGGAUGGACUCGCGGCUUAUCAGCUUGUUGGUGGGGUAGUGGCUUACCAAGGCUUUGACGGGUAGCCGGCCUGAGAGGGUGACCGGCCACAUGAGGACUGAGAUACGGCCCAGACGCCUACGUGAGGCAGCAGUGGGGAAUAUUGCACAAUGGGCGGAAGCCUGAUGCAGCAACGCCGCGUGCGGGAUGACGGCCUUCGGGUUGUAAACCGCUUUCGCCUGUGACGAAGCGUGAGUGACGGUAAUGGGUAAAGAAGCACCGGCUAACUACGUG